rnacentral:rRNA from 1 species
GACGAACGCUGGCGGCGUGCUUAACACAUGCAAGUCGAACGGAAAGGCCCUGCUUUUGUGGGGUGCUCGAGUGGCGAACGGGUGAGUAACACGUGAGUAACCUGCCCUUGACUUUGGGAUAACUUCAGGAAACUGGGGCUAAUACCGGAUAGGAGCUCCUGCUGCAUGGUGGGGGUUGGAAAGUUUCGGCGGUUGGGGAUGGACUCGCGGCUUAUCAGCUUGUUGGUGGGGUAGUGGCUUACCAAGGCUUUGACGGGUAGCCGGCCUGAGAGGGUGACCGGCCACAUGGGGACUGAGAGACGGCCCAGACUCCUACGGGAGGCAGCAGUGGGGAAUAUUGCACAAUGGGCGGAAGCCUGAGGCAGCAACGCCGCGUGCGGGAUGACGGCCUGCGGGUUGUAAACCGCUUUCGCCUGUGACGAAGCGUGAGUGACGGUAAUGGGUAAAGAAGCACCGGCUAACUACGUG